ACCAUCCAGAUUCGAUCCAAUCCAAUACCGCUGAAGUCUCUGUAGAAAGUCGAGAUCGAACUGAUCGAACUUGGAAGAAAGAGCGAGCAUCGCAAUGGCGUUUAUGAGGGGCGAGCCACUGGUGACGAAGCUGGCGGUUUUGGCCAAGUACGUGGUUCUUCCGGGAGCCAUGAUUGCUGCUCUCAUCUACUCUCCUCCAGAUUACGCGUCCUCCUCUAAGUCCGACAAGUCCCAGAAAUAAAUCAGUCCCCCUUUUCUAUUUCAGCUAUUGGGUCAUCUUCAUCACUUGGCAAUGUUGGCAUGCAUGCUUGCAAAGGUCCACUCUCUUAGACGAAUGGGGUAUGUAAUAAUUUCAUGAUAGAAUAAUUGCUGAGUUUUAGAAUGUAGUUAUUUGGAGUGAUGAACCCAUCUAGCUUAUGUUUGAAGAACUUUGAGAAGUAUCUUUGUUCUUUCCUUUGCUUUGCCCACAACUAAGCAUUAUCCAAUCAGUACAGCUAUAGCCAGGCUCCAUUUUAACAUUGUGGAAUAUAUAUAUAUAUAUAUAAUUAUAUAAGAUGGCCCGAUUAUUUGUAA